ACGGGGUGCAGCAGGCGCGAAAUCUUCACAAUGUGCGAAAGCACGAUGAGGGGAUCCCAAGUGUUGGUUCGUAAGAAUCAUCUGUUUCUUUGUCUAAAAAACAGAGAGAGUAAGAGCUGGGUAAGACGGGUGCCAGCCGCCGCGGUAAUACCUGCAGCUCAAGUGGUGGCCGCUCUUAUUGGGCCUAAAACGUCCGUAGCCGGUUUAGUAAAUGCUUGGGUAAAUUGUGUAGCUCAACUAUACGAAUACCGAGUAGACUGCUGAACUUGGGACCGGGAGAGGCUAGAGGUACUCCUAGGGUAGAGGUGAAAUUCUGUAAUCCUAGGGGGACCACCAGUGGCGAAGGCGUCUAGCUAGAACGGGUCUGACGGUGAGGGACGAAGCCCUGGGGCGCAAACCGGAUUAGAUACCCGGGUAGUCCAGGGUGUAAACGCUGCUCGCUUGAUGUUAGUUGGGCUCCGAGCCCAACUAGUGUCGGAGAGAAGUUGUUAAGCGAGCUGCCUGGAAGCACGUCGCAAGGC
rnacentral:rRNA from 1 species